rnacentral:lncRNA from 1 species
AUGCUUUUUAGGGCUGGUUUUGGGGUGUUUUUGGGUGGAUUUGGGGUCGUUUUGAUGCUGGUUUUGGGGUCAAUUUGAUGCUUUUUGGGGCUGGUUUUGGGGUCGUUUUGAUGCUUUUUAGGGCUGGUUUUGGGGCCAUUUGAGUGUGGCCGGAUCUUAUGGGUGGGUGCGAGUGGUGUUGAUGCUUGUUGUGAGGGCUGG